CCUCGUAGCCUAUAGGUCAUACACAAGUACCUCUCUUUUUGAAAUUUUCAUCUUCGCCAAUUGCAACUGUUCUAGACAAAGUAUUAAAAUUUAAAACCUCAAUGAAGCCAACAAGCUGUACGGGAAGUCUUGCCAUACCAGAUGUGUGAGCUCAGCCCAUCAUUGAACUCUUUCUUGACCCUCCAACCUACCCCCCAAAAAGGGUAAAAAGAAAAACCAGAAAAAAAACCUCAAUAAGUGGUCUAUUUGAUGCAUGACCGAAAAAUACAGAAUAUUUAAUAUGGUUGGGGAGUCAGAAGUGGGUCAAAUAAGGGCCUCGAGUAUAUGCACUUUAGACCUGUGAAAAAGUUUAAUAUUGGAAUUUAGUGAGCAAUGUUUUAGUGUAUGCUAUGAGGAAAAAGAAUUCUGAGGUGUUAUUGAUACUAUAUUUUCAGGAGCAUACCUUGAAAGGAUUCUGGCUACAGAGGUGGAUGAGUUCAGACAAAACUGAAGAACGCCAAUCCAUGAUAGAUUAUCUUUUGGGCCUAUGUCGAGAUGGGAAAUUGAAAUACGAGUAUAACCUCUCUACUCUCUCACUUGAUGUCAGGAUACCCCCGUGAAAGAAAAGUUUGAGAUUGUGAUAAAUGGAAUUUUAAUGAAAUCAAAAAAAUAAAUAUUCAGUGAUUCUUCUAAACUGUUGAAAUUUGAAAAUGUUUUUGUGGCUUGCUGACGGUCUUUUGGAUCUUCAUACAGGUUGGAGAUGGCACCAUUUGAUGAUUUUCAUACUGCUCUUGAAAAGGCUAUGGGAAAGAGAGGAAGGCAACCAAAACAAGUUCUUAAAUUCUGAUGGCACCAUUUGAUGAUUUUCAUGCUGCUCUUGAAAAGGCUAUGGGAAAGAGAGGAAGGCAACCAAAACAAGUUCUUAAAUUCUUAGUCAUCGGUACUUAGCUUUGAUCUAAAACUAGUGCUAGUAUGAAAAUUACUCUAAUUUGAGUGAUGCAAUCAUAACUGUACUGUAUAAUCAUAUAUAGUUAUUCGCUUGGAAAAUCACGUCAUCGCAGAUAGGUCGUAUAGGCAGAGUUACCUUUGUUACUGCGGACCUUUUUUUGUGAAAUCGAGUUGAGGUCCGCUGGCAUGGGGGAAUCUAUUGAACGCUAUGUAAGAAAUUGAAGUAGCAAUUGG
rnacentral:lncRNA from 1 species